rnacentral:ncRNA from 1 species
AUAAAUGCGUAUUAGUUUGCGCAAAUUGCCACAGAGAAUUACAUGCAGGAAUAUCGCAGCUUCCGAGCGAAAGCUCGGUUGAAAAACGAGGUGAAUUCGGGGAAGUCCAGCCCCACUUUUGAAAAAAGUGGAGCGGGAUAAUCCCGAGCCAAGCCCAGCCCCGGUUUUGAAAACUGGAGCUGGGAAGGUGUAGAGACUAUCUCGAAAGAGAGUAGCCCCCGCCGCAGGCGAGGUCGAAGCGCCUCGGACCUUAAAUGGUCAUGAUAUAGUCCAUCCCUAGAAGCAAUUUUAGG